rnacentral:rRNA from 1 species
AAUAGAUACCCCGGUAGUCCACGCCGUAAACGAUGGAUGCUAGCUGUUAUGCGUAUCGACCCGUGUAGUAGCGAAGCUAACGCGUUAAGCAUCCCGCCUGGGGAGUACGAACGCAAGUUUAAAACUCAAAGGAAUUGACGGGGACCCGCACAAGCGGUGGAGCGUGUUCUUUAAUUCGAGGCUAAGCGAAGAACCUUACUAGGGCUUGACAUCCUUGGAAUUUCUCCGAAAGGAGAGAGUACUUUAUUGGACCAAGUGACAGGUGCUGCAUGGCCGUCGUCAGCUCGUGUCGUGAGAUGUUUGGUUAAGUCCAUUAACGAGCGCAACCCUUAUGAAUAGUUGUAUUUUUCUAUUCAGACUGCCCCGGUAACGGGGAGGAAGGGGGGAUGAUGUCAGGUCAGUAUUGCCCUUACGCCCUGGGCUAGAAACGCGCUACAAUGGCCGGUACAAUGCGCUGCCAACCCGCGAGGGGGAGCAAAUCGCAUCAAAGCCGGUCCCAGUUCGGAUAAGAGGCUGAAACUCGCCUCUUUGAAGCCGGAAUCGCUAGUAAUCGU